CGGCAAGAAAAAGACCACAAAGCAGGGUAAUACAUGGACCACAGCGGCACAGCCCCAAACACAUUAUAACAAUUCGAAGGCAUGCAAUUGAAAAAAUAUAAAAUGAUUUAUGCCCAGCAAGAUGACUGCAUUGCACAGCAAAUAAGCAAUUGUAAGUAGAAAGGGAAUAAAAAAGUGACAAUUCAUCAUUGAUGGAAUAAUUUUGUCAUAUAUGUAUCACAAAUAGUGCAAGUAAAUCAAAUUGUAAAAUCAGCAUUUGUCAUAUCACUAAAUAGCCAACAUCUCCACACUCAAGUCUGCAUGGUACCAGUUUUGUCAAGAGGCG
rnacentral:misc_RNA from 1 species